GACGGAAGGUGCAAGCGUUGCUCGGAAUCACUGGGCGUAAAGGGUGCGUAGGCGGCUUGGUAAGUUGGGUGUGAAAGCCCCGGGCUCAGCCCGGGAAGGGCACUCGAAACUGCCGAGCUGGAGUGCCGGAGGGGAGAGUGGAAUUCCUGGUGUAGCGGUGAAAUGCGUAGAUAUCAGGAGGAAUACCGGUGGCGAAAGCGACUCUCUGGACGGCAACUGACGCUGAGGCACGAAGGCUAGGGGAGCGAACGGG
rnacentral:rRNA from 1 species